GGAAGUAAAAGUCGUAACAAGGUUUCCGUAGGUGAACCUGCGGAAGGAUCAUUACUGAGACUGGGUGCUUCGGCGCCCGACCUCCAACCCCCUGUCUACCUUACCACUGUUGCCUCGGCGUCUCUGCCCACCUCCCCUCGUGGGCGGUGGGGGGUGCGCGCCGGCGGCCAAAAACAAAAACCCUUUUUUAAAUCAAGCAAUCUGAGAAAUUAUUUUAAUAACUUCAAAACUUUCAACAACGGAUCUCUUGGUUCUGGCAUCGAUGAAGAACGCAGCGAAAUGCGAUAAGUAAUGUGAAUUGCAGAAUUCAGUGAAUCAUCGAAUCUUUGAACGCACAUUGCGCCCACUGGUAUUCCGGUGGGCAUGCCUGUUCGAGCGUCAUUAUCAACCAUCAAGCUCUGCUUGGCAUUGAGUGUCACCUCCCCCCCACGGGGUGGGCGCGCUUCAAACCGGUCGGCGGUGGCUCAGGCCUCUUAAGCGUUAGUAAUACUUCCCGCUUCUAGAGCCUGUGGUCGCCCGCCUCCAAAACCCAACACCUCAAGGUUGACCUCGGAUCAGGUAGGGAUACCCGCUGAACUUAAGCAUAUCAAUAAGCGGAGGAAA
rnacentral:rRNA from 1 species